rnacentral:ribozyme from 1 species
UUAUUGUUGAAACAACCCAAAAACAUUUUUCAAAAAACAAAAUAUGUCCCGCACUGUGAUCGCAGAUCUGCCACCGAUGACGAACGCCGACUUGGCGCGCUUUGAGAAGGAGGG